rnacentral:rRNA from 1 species
UAGGGAAUCUUCGGCAAUGGACGAAAGUCUGACCGAGCAACGCCGCGUGAGUGAAGAAGGUUUUCGGAUCGUAAAACUCUGUUGUUAGAGAAGAACAAGGACGUUAGUAACUGAACGUCCCCUGACGGUAUCUAACCAGAAAGCCACGGCUAACUACGUGCCAGCAGCCGCGGUAAUACGUAGGUGGCAAGCGUUGUCCGGAUUUAUUGGGCGUAAAGCGAGCGCAGGCGGUUUCUUAAGUCUGAUGUGAAAGCCCCCGGCUCAACCGGGGAGGGUCAUUGGAAACUGGGAGACUUGAGUGCAGAAGAGGAGAGUGGAAUUCCAUGUGUAGCGGUGAAAUGCGUAGAUAUAUGGAGGAACACCAGUGGCGAAGGCGGCUCUAUGGUCUGUAACUGAAGCUGAGGCUCGAGAGCGUGGGGAGCAAACAGG